rnacentral:rRNA from 1 species
GACCUGGUGGUCAUUGCGAGGGCCCUGCACCCGAUCCCAUGCCGAACUCGGCCGUGAAAUCCCUCCGCGCCAAUGAUACUUCGUCUCAAGACGCGGGAAAGUCGGUCGCUGCCAGGUCU